GACGAACGCUGGCGGCGUGCCUAAUACAUGCAAGUUGAGCGCUGAAGGUUGGUCCUUGUACCAACUGGAUGAGCAGCGAACGGGUGAGUAACGCGUGGGGAAUCUGCCUUUGAGCGGGGGACAACAUUUGGAAACGAAUGCUAAUACCGCAUAAAAACUUUAAACACAAGUUUUAAGUUUGAAAGAUGCAAUUGCAUCACUCAAAGAUGAUCCCGCGUUGUAUUAGCUAGUUGGUGAGGUAAAGGCUCACCAAGGCGAUGAUACAUAGCCGACCUGAGAGGGGGAUCGGCCACAUUGGGACUGAGACACGGCCCAAACUCCUACGGGAGGCAGCAGUAGGGAAUCUUCGGCAAUGGACGAAAGUCUGACCGAGCAACGCCGCGGGAGUGAAGAAGGUUGUCGGAUCGUAAAACUCUGUUGGUAGAGAAGAACGUUGGUGAGAGUGGAAAGCUCAUCAAGUGACGGUAACUACACAGAAAGGGACGGCUAACUACGUG
rnacentral:rRNA from 1 species